rnacentral:lncRNA from 1 species
CGAGGAGGAGGACAAGGAGGACGAUGAUUUGUGCUCGGUACAAUCCGCAGUGGUUAUCGGUGGUUGUUGGAGGUGGUUGCCGGUGGUUGGAGGUGGUCGGAGGUGGACGAGGAGGAGGACGAUAAGGACGAUGAUUUGUGUUCGGUGUAACCCGAGGUGGUUAUCGGUAGUUGUUGGAGGUGAUCAGAGGUGGACGAGGAGGAGGACGCGGAAGACGAGGAAAACAAGGUCUACGAGGAGGACGAGGAUUUGUGCUUGAUGAGUUUAACAUUUUUAUAAUAUUUGAUGCAGUAGGAGUAGGAUCAGAAGUGAAUGCAGACAGCAUCAUGUCGAAAUCGUUAACUCUAUGAUGUUCUGCAAUAAGUUCUCAACUCUACCGUUGGAACAUCUCUGGGGGCGCAAGCACACGACGAUUUUCGGUUUUCACACCAGAACCCAUAAGGGGCAACUGUCUUUAUAUUCUUCUGUCACGCGUGAAGAAAUCGAUCCUGAAAAUGAUGGUGACGCCUGUUCGAUGUCAGCUGGUGACAAAAAUGUGUGGCGGGUAACCUAACAUUAGGGUUUGACUUUUAGGCCGCAUAGAUAGUGAAUUUUGUGGCGUGUGUGAUUGAAAAUGAUUAAUACAUUUUAUAAGUCUGUAGGUUUGAAAUAAAAUUUCAUGCCAUCAAUUUAAAUAUCUAGAUUUGCACCGGUAAAUAGUGUUUGCGUCCGAAUUCUACAACCAUCCAUCGGGUGUCAGUAUGGAACGUAACUUGUAUAAUACAGUGAACUGUAAUAUAUAACAGUCGAGGUCACAUAGCAAUGCAAAAGGAUGAUUAAAUAUUAAAUAAUGAAUCUGAAUAUUAGGUCAGAAAUAAAAAGUGCAACGAAUAUUAUCUGAUGCUAAAAAUGAGGGAUAUUGUGUAGUGCAGUGAUUAUCGUAAAUUGGAGGUAUUACUCAAGUAAUGACCUGCGUGCAGGUGCAAUGCUCUUUCGCAGAACAUAACAUGAAUGAUACUCUAUCAUUAGUACUUGAUGCAAACUGGAUUAAAAUGAAUAAAUGAUUGAAAAUUUG